rnacentral:rRNA from 1 species
UAGAGUUUGAUCAUGGCUCAGAUUGAACGCUGGCGGCAGGCUUAACACAUGCAAGUCGAGCGGGGGAAGGUAGCUUGCUACCGGACCUAGCGGCGGACGGGUGAGUAAUGCUUAGGAAUCUGCCUAUUAGUGGGGGACAACAUCUCGAAAGGGAUGCUAAUACCGCAUACGUCCUACGGGAGAAAGCAGGGGAUCUUCGGACCUUGCGCUAAUAGAUGAGCCUAAGUCGGAUUAGCUAGUUGGUGGGGUAAAGGCCUACCAAGGCGACGAUCUGUAGCGGGUCUGAGAGGAUGAUCCGCCACACUGGGACUGAGACACGGCCCAGACUCCUACGGGAGGCAGCAGUGGGGAAUAUUGGACAAUGGGGGGAACCCUGAUCCAGCCAUGCCGCGUGUGUGAAGAAGGCCUUAUGGUUGUAAAGCACUUUAAGCGAGGAGGAGGCUACUUUAGUUAAUACCUAGAGAUAGUGGACGUUACUCGCAGAAUAAGCACCGGCUAACUCUGUGCCAGCAGCCGCGGUAAUACAAUC